ensembl:snRNA U6 U6 spliceosomal RNA
GUGCCCCCUUUGGCAGCACAUAUAUUAAACUCGGAAUGAUACAGAGGAGAUUAGCAUGGGCCCUGUGCAAGGAUGACAUGCAAGUUGAGGGGGAGGAUUAAAUAAAAUU